UGAAGUGGCAAUGGGCAGGUCAUGUCUGUCGCAGAACCGACGGCCGAUGGGGCAGACGUGUUCUGGAGUGGAGACUGCGUACCUGUAAGCGCAGUGUGGGACGACCUCCAGCCCGCUGGACCGAUGAUCUGAAGAAGGUGGUGGGGAGCGAAUUGUUGAGAAAAUCGA